GCGGGUGUAGUUCAUCGGUAGAAUGCGAGCUUCCCAAGCUUGAGAGGAGGGUUCGAUUCCCUUCGCCCGCUCCA
rnacentral:tRNA from 1 species